rnacentral:rRNA from 1 species
AAAGAAAGUGAAGGUAAGUGAGAGAGAGGUUAAGAGGUGAUGGGCCUUAAGGUUAGGUGAAUUUGAAAGCACAUUUAAAGAUGGAACGUUUUGGAGCACGGCUCUGUAAGAGAAGGGUAGGAUUUCGGGUCCCGAAUUAGGGGGAUCUAUUUUAGUCUAUGUGUGUUGUUGCAGAACCUUGGUAAGAAGAAAUAGUCGCGAAAUGCAAUUCGGACCUUAGGAUAGCUGGUUAGCUUUUGAGGACAUUUAAGUGUUGUGGCCUUUGUUUGGAGGUUAGGGGGCUCGUGGCGAUAAUGUCGCGGGUUUAGAGAACGGUGGGGGUGAUGGAGUUGUUUUAGUAGUGUGGGGAUUGCUCUUCUGGUGGAGUUUGUAAUAAAUCAGAAAUUUUUGUAUAAAAGGCAUUGUUAUUCCGUCUAAGAAGAAAGGGCUCAAAUAUUUAAAUGGUUUGGUAUUUGGAUACUGUAGAGGUUAGUCGGAAAACAGAAAGUUUACCAUAUAAGGUUUUUAAAGGUUUAUGGAGAAACUGGUGGAUUUAAGAAUACAUGUAAAAAAGGAACUCGGCAAGCAAGUUUCUCGAAUGUUUAUUAAAAACAUUGCUGCAUGGAAGAAUGUGCGGUAAGUACUGCCCGGUGCAUAAGUGUAAACGGUGGCGUAAGGUUUUAAAGUAGCGAAAUACCUAGCCCUUUAAUUGGGGGCGUGCAUGAAGUAUUAACGAGGGAGCGACUGUCUCUUUUGCAUAAAUCUUAAAUAGAACUCUAAGUGAAGUUGCUUAGAUAAGGCCAAAAGACGAUAAGACCCCGUGCAGCUUUACUUAACUGAUAAAUGAUUUUUAGGAUGGUUUAGCUGGGGAAGCUGGAAAAGUUGAGCUUUUUUCUUUUUUUGUUAGGGGCACCUUGAGAGCUGGUUUAGACCAAGUAGGGGAAUAGUUACGCCGGGGGUAACAGGACGCUUUUGAAAUGGAGUUCAUAUUGAUUUCAAAGUGUGUUACAUCGAUGUUGAAUCAAGGCGCUUCUGGGUGUAGAGGCUCAGAUUUGGGGGUCUGUUCGACCUUUAAAGCCUUACGUGAUUUGAGUUUAGAACGGCGUAAGCCAGUUUGGUUUCUAUCUUUGGUUAAGAGAUUAAGCAAUUUUGUACGCAAGGAAUUUUUGGAUGGCUGGGAAGCUGAUUUAUUG